GAUGAACGCUGGCGGCGUGCCUAAUACAUGCAAGUCGAGCGAACAGACGAGGAGCUUACUCCUCUGACGUUAGCGGCGGACGGGUGAGUAACACGUGGAUAACCUACCUAUAAGACUGGGAUAACUUCGGGAAACCGGAGCUAAUACCGGAUAACAUGUUGAACCGCAUGGUUCAACAGUGAAAGACGGUCUUGCUGUCACUUAUAGAUGGAUCCGCGUCGCAUUAGCUAGUUGGUAAGGUAACGGCUUACCAAGGCAACGAUGCGUAGCCGACCUGAGAGGGUGAUCGGCCACACUGGAACUGAGACACGGUCCAGACUCUUACGGGAGGCAGCAGUAGGGAAUCUUCCGCAAUGGGCGAAAGCCUGACGGAGCAACGCCGCGUGAGUGAAGAAGGUCUUCGGAUCGUAAAACUCUGUUAUUAGGGAAGAACAAAUGUGUAAGUAACUAUGCACGUCUUGACGGUACCUAAUCAGAAAGCCACGGCUAACUACGUG
rnacentral:rRNA from 1 species